rnacentral:rRNA from 1 species
UACGGAGGGCGCGAGCGUUAAUCGGAAUUACUGGGCGUAAAGCGCGCGUAGGCUGUUGUGUAAGUUGGGGGUGAAAUCCCACGGCUCAACCGUGGAACAGCCCUUGAUACUGCGCGACUUGAAUCCGGGAGAGGGUGGCGGAAUUCCAGGUGUAGGAGUGAAAUCCGUAGAUAUCUGGAGGAGCAUCAGUGGCGAAGGCGGCCACCUGGACCGGUAUUGACGCUGAGGCGCGAAAGCGUGGGGAGCAAACAGG